CCUACGGGAGGCAGCAGUAGGGAAUAUUGCUCAAUGGGGGAAACCCUGAAGCAGCAACGCCGCGUGGAGGAUGAAGGUUUUCGGAUUGUAAACUCCUUUUGUUAGAGAAGAUAAUGACGGUAUCUAACGAAUAAGCACCGGCGAACUCCGUGCCAGCAGCCGCGGUAAUACGGAGGGUGCAAGCGUUACUCGGAAGCACUGGGCGGAAAGAGCGCGUAGGCGGGAUAGCAAUUCAGAUGUGAAAUCCUAUGGCUUAACCAUAGAACUGCAUUUGAAACUGUUAUUCUAGAGUAUGGGAGAGGUAGGUGGAAUUCUUGGGGUAGGGGUAAAAUCCGUAGAGAUCAAGAGGAAUACUCAUUGCGAAGGCGACCUGCUAGAACAUAACUGACGCUGAUGCGCGAAAGCGUGGGGAGCAAACAGGAUUAGAUACCCUUGUAGUC
rnacentral:rRNA from 1 species